rnacentral:rRNA from 1 species
UACGUAGGGGGCAAGCGUUGUCCGGAAUCAUUGGGCGUAAAGAGCGUGUAGGCGGUUCGGUAAGUCCGCUCUGAAAGCCCGGGGCUCAACCCCGGGAGGCGGGCGGAUACUGUCGGGCUAGAGUCCGGAAGAGGCGAGUGGAAUUCCUGGUGUAGCGGUGAAAUGCGCAGAUAUCAGGAGGAACACCAAUGGCGAAGGCAGCUCGCUGGGACGGUACUGACGCUGAGACGCGAAAGCGUGGGGAGCAAACAGG